AAAAAGAAAAGCACAAAGAGCUGCUGGAUGAUGAUUUCGAUGAUUAUGACAAUGACCAUUAUUAUGAAAGGUAUUUCUUAUAUCUGUACACGAUUACAUGGUAUUUCUUAUAAUGAUCAUUGGGAGAAGCAUGACUACACUCGCAAAAUCUUUGUUGGGUGUCUCCCGCUUUCGGUACACGAUGCCUACCUUAGCAGAUUCUUCAGUACUGAAUUCGGACCUGUGGAGGAAGCAAUAGUAAUUACCUUUUCUAGGAGUACUGAAUUCGGACCUAUGGAUGAGAUUCCCAGAGUCAGUGCCAGAUCAUCAGUCUCCAAGAUCACCACCUACCG
rnacentral:rRNA from 1 species